AAACUGGAGAGUUUGAUCCUGGCUCAGAACGAACGCUGGCGGAGUGCUUAAGACAUGCAAGUCGAACGAGAAAGUCGCCUUCGGGUGGCGAGUAAAGUGGCGCACGGGUGAGUAACGCGUGGACAAUCUGCCCUUUGGUUUGGGAUAACCCCGGGAAACUGGAGCUAAUACCGAAUAAGCCCACGCCGUCUUCGGACGAAGUGGGAAAAGAUGGCCUCUCCUUGGAAGCUGUCGCCAAUCGAUGAGUCCGCGUACCAUUAGCUAGUUGGUGAGGUAACGGCUCACCAAGGCUACGAUGGUUAGCUGGUCUGAGAGGAUGAUCAGCCACACUGGAACUGAGACACGGUCCAGACUCCUACGGGAGGCAGCAGUC
rnacentral:rRNA from 1 species